rnacentral:rRNA from 1 species
GACGAACGCGGCGGCGUGCCUAAUACAUGCAAGUAGAACGCUGAAGGAGGAGCUUGCUUCUCCGGAUGAGUUGCGAACGGGUGAGUAACGCGUAGGUAACCUGCCUGGUAGCGGGGGAUAACUAUUGGAAACGAUAGCUAAUACCGCAUAAGAGUAGAUGUUGCAUGACAUUUACUUAAAAGGUGCAAUUGCAUCACUACCAGAUGGACCUGCGUUGUAUUAGCUAGUUGGUGGGGUAACGGCUCACCAAGGCGACGACACAUAGCCGACCUGAGAGGGUGAUCGGCCACACUGGGACUGAGACACGGCCCAGGCUCCUACGGGAGGCAGCAGUAGGGAAUCUUCGGCAAUGGACGGAAGUCUGACCGAGCAACGCCGCGUGAGUGAAGAAGGUUUUCGGAUCGUAAAGCUCUGUUGUAAGAGAAGAACGAGUGUGAGAGUGGAAAGUUCACACUGUGACGGUAUCUACCAAAAAGG